GGGUACGGGCAGACUAGAGUGCAGUAGGGGAGACUGGAAUUCCUGGUGUAGCGGUGGAAUGCGCAGAUAUCAGGAGGAACACCGAUGGCGAAGGCAGGUCUCUGGGCUGUAACUGACGCUGAGGAGCGAAAGCAUGGGGAGCGAACAGGAUUAGAUACCCUGGUAGUCCAUGCCGUAAACGUUGGGCACUAGGUGUGGGGACCAUUCCACGGUUUCCGCGCCGCAGCUAACGCAUUAAGUGCCCCGCCUGGGGAGUACGGCCGCAAGGCUAAAACUCAAAGGAAUUGACGGGGGCCCGCACAAGCGGCGGAGCAUGCGGAUUAAUUCGAUGCAACGCGAAGAACCUUACCAAGNCUNGACAUGUUCUCGAUCGCCGUAGAGAUACGGUUUCCCNCUUUGGGGNNGGGUUCACAGGUGGUGCAUGGUUGUCGUCAGCUCGUGUCGUGAGAUGUUGGGUUAAGUCCCGCAACGAGCGCAACCCUCGUUCCAUGUUGCCAGCACGUAAUGGUGGGGACUCAUGGGAGACUGCCGGGGUCAACUCGGAGGAAGGUGAGGACGACGUCAAAUCAUCAUGCCCCUUAUGUCUUGGGCUUCACGCAUGCUACAAUGGCCGGUACAAUGGGUUGCGAUACUGUGAGGUGGAGCUAAUCCCAAAAAGCCGGUCUCAGUUCGGAUUGGGGUCUGCAACUCGACCCCAUGAAGUCGGAGUCGCUAG
rnacentral:rRNA from 1 species